ACGUAGGGGGCUAGCGUUGUCCGGAAUUAUUGGGCGUAAAGAGCUCGUAGGCGGUUUGUUAAGUCAGGGGUGAAAUCCUGGAGCUCAACUCCAGAACUGCCUUUGAUACUGGCGGUCUCGAGUCCGGGAGAGGUGAAUGGAACUGCGGGUGUAGAGGUGAAAUUCGUAGAUAUUCGGAAGAACACCGGUGGCGAAGGCGGGUCACUGGGC
rnacentral:rRNA from 1 species